rnacentral:rRNA from 1 species
UACGUAGGGGGCAAGCGUUAUCCGGAUUUACUGGGUGUAAAGGGAGCGCAGACGGAUGGAUAAGUCUGAAGUGAAAGCCCGCGGCUCAACUGCGGGACUGCUUUGGAAACUGUGCAUCUUGAGUACGGGAGGGGCAGGCGGAAUUCCUGGUGUAGCGGUGAAAUGCGUAGAUAUCAGGAGGAACACCGGCGGCGAAGGCGGCCUGCUGGACCGAAACUGACGUUGGGGCUCGAAAGCGUGGGGAGCAAACAGG